AUGGAAAUACAGAAAUACGUGUCGAGUUGCUACUUAUAGACUUUUAAAUAUUUAAAGAAAAAAAUUGCUAAAAGCAGAUGAAUGCUUCUUCACCUCAAG
rnacentral:sRNA from 1 species